AAUGAAGAAGUUUGUGAUGAUGGUGGCGGCGGUGUUGGUGGUGGCAGUGGUGGUGGAGGGGUCAGAGGGGUUCAGCUUGUGCAACAUGAGUGAGGAUGAUUUGAUGACAUGUAAGCCUGCAGUGAGCAAACCAUCGCCGGUGGAUCCAUCUCCGGAGUGCUGCAAGGCGCUUUCAGGAGCUGAUUUGACUUGCCUUUGCUCUUAUAAGAACUCAGAGACACUGCCGUUUCUUGGGAUUGAUCCUGAUCUUGCCAUGGCUCUUCCCUCCAAGUGCAACCUCACCCCUCCUGCUAGCUGCUAAGGUGUAUGUAUGUCGAGAAGACUCUGUUGUUGGUAAUUGAAGGGUUUGUUUUCAUGUUGGAAAUGUUUGUGUUUCUUCUUACUAGUAAUUUGCAUGCUAUACUACCAUGCAAAAGUGUGUAUUAUAUGUUGUUUCUAAUGCAACUUAGAUGCGUAUUGAUGGUUUCUUCUUGCUU